CCUUCUUUAUUAUCUCUACGCCCAAAAUUGCGUCUAAACAUAAACAUUCGAGUGGAUUAUAGAAGUUGAUAAAUGUAAAUGAAAAUGUUUUGUAAUCAAGCUAAUAGCACAGAAUUAGCACAGACAGUAGCUUUCGUGGCAAAAAAGUUCUCAGAAGAUGGCAUAUUAGACAGCAUGGAACAAGCAAUGAAAAAAAUUCUGCAAGAAAGCAAUGACUUUAAAGAGAUGGAAGAUUCUUUGCGCCGAAUCUGUGAAAAUCCUGGACAUGUAAACUAUGGCGAAAUAUUUUGUGAAAUGGCAGAAUCUAGUAAUGAUUCUGAGCCUGAAAAUGAAUGUUUGGACAUGCAGAUUUUGGAACUUUUAACUAAAAAUAGCAAUAUGCAGUUGAGUGCAGAAACUAAGAAGAAAAUAUUUCAGGAAUGGAAAAAAAUCCUGAAAGAGAAGAACAGAAAGAAUCAUUAGCUAUAAUCAUCAUUGUAAUUGAAGGUACUACAUUAUUCAUGAAGGUUUUUGAUAGGUUGAAAAGUUAUCAAGAAAAUGGUAACCAACUGUGCAGAGAGAGUCAAAGAUGGCUAAAAAAAUAACAGACUACGAAUGACGUAACACGCACUGUCGAAUAAGGACACGUACUACGUAUUUACGAGAAAAUGAGGCCUUGUUUAAUAAGGAAAAUUAUUUUAACAAGUUAUGUGCCUGUUAGAAUUAUAUGAUGGAAAUGCAGGUAUUAACAAAGAAGCGGUGAUUUUUGUUUUCAAUGAAAAUGAAAGUUUCAUUUAAAGUGAUGUGCCGGAAGUGCAGACAUAAAUAAUGAUUGGCAUUAAAAAUUAAAUACAAACUGAAUGCAACACCAUACAUGAGUGACAAAUUGUGUAUAAUUUUUUUGUCCAUGGUCAAUUGCAAAAUUCUUAAUGUUUUAAAUAAAUGAUAAUAUUUUAAGAGAUAAAUUACAUCUCUUUAAAAUUAUACACAGCAAAAUAUGCUCACUAAUAUUUAAAAUGUUCAGCUCCUUACACUAAAAUGGUCUUAACAGUUGUUUAUUCUGCUAUAGAAUACAAACUAUUUUCCUUAAUCCUCUUUAUAACAAAGUCACUAUUAGGGAACAGGUAGAUGUCUGCUAUUUUCAUCUAGCCAAAACCCUUGAUACUGUUAGUGAUUCUAUAUUACUUGGAAAGUUAUCUAAUUUUGGCUAAGUGACAAUGUGGUCAAUUGGUUCUCUAGUUAUCUUAAGAGUAGAAGUUUUUUUUGUGUCCAUUAACUCUUCUUAUUUUAUGCAAGUUCUGAAGUAUCUCAGGGAGGUACAUUGUCACCAUUACUCUUCAGUAUAUUUCUUAAUAUACUAGUGUACUGUUUGCUGACAAUCUCAAAAUUUGUAGAAAACUGGUUGCUCUUAAUGAUUGUUUCUUAAUUCAAACCGACAGUAACAAAAUUAAUUAUAUUAAUAAUCCAUAAUCACAUCUCUUACCAGACUACAUUGGCCAAUUAAAUAUGAUUAUAAGUUGGAUACCACUUUAAUUUCCAAAAUUCUAUUAUAAAAAGAUAUUGGCAUCAUUUUGGAUUCUAAAUCAGUAUGUAGAUUAUUUAAUUUCUUUAAUCACUUUAUUUAUCAGAUCUAAAUUAGAAUACUGCUCAGUAAUUUGGAAAAUCAAUUCAUCUGAUAGUGACAAAAUCGAAAGCUCACAUAAAAUAAUUAAACUUUACUUUUCCUUAACCUAUUUUAGCUUGCCUUCUUCUCAGUGCAUAAUAUAUUUAAAUUCUAAAAUAAAUUUUAAAUAUAUUCUAGAUAAUACUAUAGAGUUCCCGAAUUCAAUAGUCAGUUAAUAUCCUCUUUGAGCACAGUUCAUAACAAUAAUAUUAUAUUUAUUAAGUCACUAUCAAUAUUAUAAUUUUAAAUGACAAAACUUCUUUAAAAUCUAUAUGUACUAAACAGCUCACAAUGUAUAAUCGUUUAUUAUCCAUGUGUAAUAUGUACUGUAAAUGUUACAUCUAAUGGUUAUGUUUCUUCCUGUAUUACAUUAUGUAUUAAUUGUAAUUGUGAUAAGCUUCUCUUUGUUACCACUUAUUUCAGUGUUUGAUUUGUCUGCUGCAGUUUCUGCAAGUACUAUGUGGUAAUGGCUGCUUGCGUAUGUCAGCCAACUGCAGUAGUGCCUAGCUCUUGCUGAGACCACAUUGUCUUGUGUAUUUGUGUCUCGUGCUCACCGUAAAAGUCUUCCAACUGUUGGCGGGCAUGUGACAAAUAAAAAUAAUUAAAUGAAGUUCUAAAUAAAAUUUUUUUAGCUAUAGCCUGUCUCACGCUUAGAGUGCAGUACAGCUAGCAACUCUGUCUCUGGGUCAUGACGUGGCCUGUGUGGGUGUUAGGCUCGUUCCCCCACACGGCGUUAAAGACUACCCCACCAAUCCGCUCUGACACUGUCGAUUGAUGGUCGUCGGUGGGCUCUGAGGACGUCCCACACGCCCCGGUCCCCUAUGCAGGGAGCACACGUACUCACAGAUCUGGUCGGAAGGCUUUAUUUAGUCGAGACAUACACGAGUGAACACAGUUAUGAAAAUAAACUCUACGCAAAAAGAUGCUAACUGCAAUUCAACUGGUUUAGAGUUUAGAGAUGCACCAGGACACCACGUGGCCUUGCCUAGAGAUUAAGUCACAUCGUUGAUUUAAAAUGUCCUGGACUUAAACGGUUCAUUAAACAGUCUGCUACCCGGGGCAAGCCUCUAAGAUAAAGAAAAAGGUUUAAGUGAUAUUAAUGACGCCUGAUGCUAAAUAUCAGUUUAAAUAGAACGGUAAAGUUGACGAGGUGUGUAGGAAGGGUCCUACCCCAGGCAGAUUGGGCGAUCGUCCGGGUGUCAUGGCGGCAGGAAGCAGUUUAAUUACUGCUAGGCCGUUUAUAUUUACGUGACGAAACAGAUAACACAACAGAACCUUUCGAGCACUGAAUAAUAAAUUACAAUUGAUUAUUACGUAUUAAUAACAUUUAUUUGUAUUUUUAAUUGUUAAUUAAUAAUUAAGUUCAAAAAUAAACUGCCCACGUCAGGGUGCGUUCCAAAAGGGUUUGUGCUUUGCGCUGUUCCGUCAUUACUUAAGCUGAAAGAAAACAUAACACCCAAGGGAUGAAAUAUAAGUAAAAUUACAAACUAUAUUAAUUAAAGUAUUAUUUUAAGGGUGCGUGGCACAGACUCUAAGUCGCCUCUUGCUGGGCGGACAAACACACACAUGCGCACACACUCGGCGGAAGGUUUUAAUUGGAGGGUGAUGGUGGGGGGGGGAGGGGCCUGAAGUGGGGUGAGGCACAUCUGGCUUAUGGUAGGUGCAGCCUCGAUUGACAUCAGUAUAUAAAAAAAAAGAUAGUGUCUUUUAGUUACCUUAGUUUCCUUAGAAUUACAAAUGAAAUAUCAGAUAAUGCUCUUAAUUAAAUACAACACGCAAAUGUAUUUUCAAAAUUUUUUAUCACAUUAUGAAGUUGUUUCUGUAACUUGUAUGCUCUUUGGAUACAUGUGGCAACAGUGCACACUGAAACCAGAAUAGCACUAAUACAAAAUAUUAUGCAUUGGAAAGAGAGAGAGUGCAUACUGGAAUCUAAGGAUGAGAAUAACUAUAACACUUACUUAAGAUUAAAAUUUAUAGCUUAUAUCAGUGGUGCUCAACAUUUUUUGAAUCAUGGUUUUUUUUUUUUCCCCUCAACUUAAAUGUUGCUAACCGCACUGUCACAUACACAUAUCGUAAACAAUUUUUUUUCUUCAUGAGGCUUUGUGUAUUCUUAUUUUACAAGAUGACUAAAAGCAACUAAUCUAAAUUCGUUGAUUUAAAAAAAAACUGUUUGUAUAUUAACAUUUCUAAGAAUCUGCCAACCAAUGUUUUUCGAAUUUCAUAAAAGUCAAUACUAAAUACAUUUAAAACCUCUAGUUAAUGUGCCAUGCUACUGCAAACUCUAGUUGAUGAUUUUUCAGUUUAAUAUUUACUUAACUGUGAUCAUGAGUACAAGAGUCAGUGCCAGAGUGGUUUGGGGACCUGUACUUAUAGUCCAUGAAAUAGUGCACUUGUUCUGACAGUUUCAUGUGAUGCAUUAAGUUGUCAUUCUCCACCAGUUAUGACAUUGAAUAAAUAUCCAAUCAUUUACCAGUAUUUUUUCUCAGAAAUGUUGAAGAAUAUUCCAAUCUCUAACUAAAAAUUUGGACAGAUUACCUGGUGGAAAAGUGCUCUCAUUAGUGGAAUAUGUGAACUUAAAUUUUGGAGAGCCCAUCGCGUUAAGCCUAUGUGUGUAGCCAUACGGGAUAAAAUGCUACCUUCAUAUUUCAUCUCAUUGUGAAUUUACACAUAUUGUAGCUUGGGGUGGUUGAAUAGAAAGGCAUAUCUUUGCUUAUAAAAUACCAAACAUACUAAAGCUGCAACUUCGUAAAUUCACAGUAAUAUUUUGAGGUGCACAUUGUAUUUGUAUUGUAUUUUAUUGCAUAAUUGUUGCACAUUUAUUGCUUAAAAGUAGCAUAAAAUUAGGGUUGCGAUUUUUAUGCAAGAAAAGCAUUUUUGUUAAGGUUUUUUUCAUUAAAAAGUAGAGUAUAAAAAAUAAAGCAUGCCAAACAAUUAAAUUAAUUAGCCAUGCAACAAAAACAUAUUUCCUAAACUUAAAAUAGAAAAAUGCAAAACGUGAGCAAAAACUAACAAAGAUUAAUAUCGUUGCAGUACACAAUAACUACAAAAGAGUGCAGGCUAUCAAAAGCAGUUUACUUGGCACGAGACAAAGUGCUCACAUUGUAUGCAAUUGGCGAGCUAUCGUUAUCAGACUACAUGCACACACACUACACGGGCAUUAACGUAACCAAACAUGAUGAUCCUGUCUAGAGCUGGCUACAUUUUUAUACGAACUACACAGAGGCGACAAAAAAUUAAAGGUUAAAAGUCUUUAAAAGGAAAUUUACAUAUUGAAAAAAUUUGAAUUUUUGUUAAUUAAAUUUAUAAACGGUAAUAUCCUAAUAGAUUUCAACUUUAAAAUACAUUGAAACAUUCAUCUUAUAGAGAAAAUGUCAGGAUCAAAACAUUUGACCAUAUUGGACAGGAAAUUGUAUUGUGCUGGUACAUCUUAAAUUAGUUUUACUGUAUUUUCCCAUUAUAACUAUCACAUUGCCUGACAUCAACUUGAAAACCGAUUGCUGUAGCAUGGUAAUUUGUCCUGUGAUCUUCGGCAAGGACACAUUUACUACCGACACAAAGCGCUCGGAAUCUAACAGCGGGACCAAAAACAUCAUGCAACGUUUAUGCGAUGACUUUUUCUUUUACAAAUUUUGACGCUCUAAAAUAGUGCAACGAUUAUGUAACAAAACACGGUAAUACUGUUAAUCUUAAAAUCACACACAUAAAACGUAUACAUUGAUAUUCAGGAGCAAUUUUAUUGUUGACUUCAUUCCUAAUAAUCAUGUAUCUGUACGUAUAAACAAAAAGAAAACAGUGAGUUACCGCUGCAAGCAGUGAAACUGUCACAUUGCAUAAUUAUGGAUUGUAUUAGAACUUAGUCCUAUAGAGCUGCUAAAAGAAAUAUUGCAUUAAUAAUGGUUUUAUAAUAAUUUGAUAAUUAAGCUAAGUAUCAUGUUGUUAUCCUCUGGAAUUUUAAAAUGUGAGAUUUGUAUUUUUUUAUAUGUAUGUGCAUUUUAAAAUGGUUUUGUUAUCACUUAUCACAUUAUUACACUUUUGCCAAUUGUAAAAUUUUGAUAAUAAAUUUAUACUAUUUUUGUGAA